rnacentral:sRNA from 11 species
GUCAGUAACCCCGCCCUAUCGGACGAGGCUAAAAAAGAAAAAUUAGAUAGUUUUCUGAAUAAGCCUUCGACUUGGAUUAACUGACCAGCUUUAGUCUGUGAAACGGCAAGUUUUACAGACUACGUUAAAAAACAGAUGACACCGUAAAAUGCUUCUCCAGUUUUACGCCAUGUC